GGAAACCGUUCUUAGAUGACUCCUGGCAAAAGAACCCAAAGUACCUGCGCUGAUGGGACGCUCCUGUUUGCGGGCACAGGAGACGGGGCGGACACAGUCCAUGACAAAGACACAGUUAGGAACAUACCAAAGGGGAUUUCUGUACCCCCUGCAUUUUGUUUUCCAUUUUUAGCCCUUACCGAGGCUGUUGUUCUCAAGAUCAAGGUCCCUGAUUAAGUUUCGCAUUGGUUUAGAGCUCCAACACCCUGAGAAUCAGUCACCCCAUCAGGGGGCUGCGGCGCGUGAGGAAGCUGAGGCAGAAGAGCCCUGAAGCACCGCUUGGAAACCUGUUCAGUUACCGGCUCACUAGUUCUGAGUAACUCCAACAAUAAACGGGCACUGAGAAAGGA